rnacentral:pre_miRNA from 1 species
ACAACAUUCGGGCGGUCGGUCUACCGAGCAAUUAGACCCGCUCGGUGGAUGAUCUUGCUUUCGUCGU